AGCUGACGAGUCCUAAAUAGGACGAAACGCACGUCCU
rnacentral:hammerhead_ribozyme from 1 species